UACGUAGGGGCCAAGCGUUGUCCGGAUUUAUUGGGCGUAAAGAGCUCGUAGGCGGCUUGUCGCGUCGGCUGUGAAAUCCCGUGGCUCAACUGCGGGUCUGCAGCCGAUACGGGCAGGCUAGAGUUCGGUAGGGGAGACUGGAAUUCCUGGUGUAGCGGUGGAAUGCGCAGAUAUCAGGAGGAACACCGGUGGCGAAGGCGGGUCUCUGGGCAGUAACUGACGCUGAGGAGCGAAAGCGUGGGGAGCGAACAGG
rnacentral:rRNA from 1 species